CCCGGCGACCGGCGCACGGGUGAGUAACGCGUAUGCAACUUACCUAUCAGAGGGGAUAACCCGGCGAAAGUCGGACUAAUACCGCAUGAAGCAGGGGCCCCGCAUGGGGAUAUUUGCUAAAGAUUCAUCGCUGAUAGAUAGGCAUGCGUUCCAUUAGGCAGUUGGCGGGGUAACGACCCACCAAACCGACGAUGGAUAGGGGUUCUGAGAGGAAGGUCCCCCACAUUGGUACUGAGACACGGACCAAACUCCUACGGGAGGCAGCAG
rnacentral:rRNA from 1 species